CACGGAGUUAGCCGAUCCUUAUCCUCACAGUACCGUCAAGACGCUACACGUAGCGUUGUUUCUUCCUGUGCAAAAGCAGUUUACAAUCCAUAGGACCGUCAUCCUGCACGCGGCAUGGCUGGUUCAGGCUUGCGCCCAUUGACCAAUAUUCCUCACUGCUGCCUCCCGUAGGAGUCUGGUCCGUGUCUCAGUACCAGUGUGGGGGAUCUCCCUCUCAGGACCCCUACCCAUCGUUGCCUUGGUAAGCCGUUACCUUACCAACCAGCUAAUGGGACGCAUGCUCAUCUUUCACCGUUGUGACUUUAAUAGUUCAAUCAUGCGAUCGUACUAUACUAUGAGGUAUUAAUCCAAAUUUCUCUGGGCUGUCCCUCUGUGAAAGGCAGAUUGCAUACGCGUUACGCACCCGCGCGCCGGUCUCUGGUUCCGAAGAACCAUACCCCUCGACUUGCAUGUGUUAAGCCUGCCGCUAGCGUUCAUCCUGAGCC
rnacentral:rRNA from 1 species